rnacentral:rRNA from 1 species
UAGGGAAUCUUCGGCAAUGGACGGAAGUCCGACCGAGCAACGCCGCGUGAGUGAAGAAGGUUUUCGGAUCGUAAAGCCCUGUUGUUAGAGAAGAACGUUGGUAGGAGUGGAAAAUCUACCAAGUGACGGCAACUAACCAGAAAGGGACGGCUAACUACGUGCCAGCAGCCGCGGUAAUACGUAGGUCCCGAGCGUUGUCCGGAUUUAUUGGGCGUAAAGCGAGCGCAGGCGGUUCUUUAAGUCUGAAGUUAAAGGCAGUGGCUUAACCAUUGUACGCUUUGGAAACUGGAGGACUUGAGUGCAGAAGGGGGGAGUGGAAUUCCAUGUGUAGCGGUGAAAUGCGUAGAUAUGUGGAGAAACACCGGUGGCGAAAGCGGCUCUCUGGUCUGUAACUGACGCUGAGGCUCGAAAGCGUGGGGAGCAAACAGG